AUUGAACGCUGGCGGCAGGCUUAACACAUGCAAGUCGAGCGGAGAGAGGUAGCUUGCUACCUAACCUAGCGGCGGACGGGUGAGUAAUGCUUAGGAAUCUGCCUAUUAGUGGGGGACAACAUUUCGAAAGGGAUGCUAAUACCGCAUACGCCCUAAGGGGGAAAGCAGGGGAUCUUCGGACCUUGCGCUAAUAGAUGAGCCUAAGUCGGAUUAGCUAGUUGGUGGGGCAAAGGCCUACCAAGGCGACGAUCUGUAGCGGGUCUGAGAGGAUGAUCCGCCACACUGGGACUGAGACACGGCCCAGACUCCUACGGGAGGCAGCAGUGGGGAAUAUUGGACAAUGGGGGAAACCCUGAUCCAGCCAUGCCGCGUGUGUGAAGAAGGCCUUUUGGUUGUAAAGCACUUUAAGCGAGGAGGAGGCUACCUGGAUUAAUACUCUAGGAUAGUGGACGUUACUCGCAGAAUAAGCACCGGCUAACUCUGUGCCAGCCGCCGCCGUAAUAC
rnacentral:rRNA from 1 species